rnacentral:rRNA from 1 species
GACGAACGCUGGCGGCGUGCUUAACACAUGCAAGUCGAACGGUGAAGGGGUCUGCUUUUGUGGGCCCUGGAUGAGUGGCGAACGGAUGAGUAACACGUGAGUAACCUGCCCCCUUCUUCUGGAUAACCGCAUGAAAGUGUGGCUAAUACGGGAUAUUCUGGGUCUGUCGCAUGAUGGGUCUGGGAAAGAUUGCGCCUUUGGGUGUUUUUGGUGGGGGAUGGGCUCGCGGCCUAUCAGCUUGUUGGUGGGGUGAUGGCCUACCAAGGCGGUGACGGGUAGCCGGCCUGAGAGGGUGGACGGUCACACUGGGACUGAGACACGGCCCAGACUCCUACGGGAGGCAGCAGUGGGGAAUAUUGCACAAUGGGCGCAAGCCUGAUGCAGCGACGCCGCGUGAGGGAUGGAGGCCUUCGGGUUGUAAACCUCUUUCGCCAGUGAAGCAGGCCUGCUCCUUGUGGGUGGGUUGACGGUAGCUGGAUAAGAAGCGCCGGCUAACUACGUG